GAUGAAGAACGCAGCGAAAUGCGAUAAGUAGUGUGAAUUGCAGAAUUCAGUGAAUCAUCGAAUCUUUGAACGCACAUUGCGCCCCUUGGUAUUCCAUGGGGCAUGCCUGUUCGAGCGUCAUUUCAACCCUCAAGCCCCCGGGCUUGGUGUUGGGGAUCGGCGAGCCUCCGCGCCCGCCGUCCCCUAAAUCUAGUGGCGGUCUCGCUGUAGCUUCCUCUGCGUAGUAGCACACCUCGCACUGGGAAACAGCGCGGCCACGCCGUUAAACCCCCAACUUCUGAACGUUUGACCUCGGAUCAGGUAGGAAUACCCGCUGAACUUAAGCAUAUCAAUAAGCGGAGGA
rnacentral:misc_RNA from 1 species